ACCACAAUCAAGUCAAAUACAAGCAAAACAAUAAGCAUACAUGGAGAUGAGCAAAUAUGCAAAACAAAGGAUCAAGAUUUACACUAUCACAACCUUGGGAAAAAGAGUCUUGCAGCCACCACAGGAAGGGGAGUAGAAAUCUACUAUAACAAGUUUAUCACCAGCAUUCAACAGAGAGUC